rnacentral:RNase_P_RNA from 1 species
CGGGAUGGCCAGACGAUCGCGUGCCACGAAAGUGGCCCGAGGAACGUCCGGGCUCCACAGAACGGGGUGGUGGGUAACGCCCACUCGGGGAAACCCGCAGGCUAGUGCCACAGAAAAUAGACCGCCCGCAAGGGUAAGGGUGAAACGGUGGUGUAAGAGACCACCAGCAUUCCAGGUGACUGGAGUGGCUAGGUAAACCCCACCCGGAGCAAGGUCAGACAGACUACUGGGUUGUUCGCUCAAUGUAGUCGGGUGGGCCGCUUGAGGGUGUCGGUAACGGCGCUCCUAGAUAGAUGAUCGUCACCGCGAUCCCGGGUAACCGGCCGCGGGACAAAACCCGGCGUAUCGGUCAUCCCGUCCA